rnacentral:lncRNA from 1 species
AUUUAAGACCAGGCCUGCAUGGAGCUCUUCAUUGAGGCCCGGGGCACGGUGUCUAAACCCUACCCUGAUAUCCCCUGCUUCCAGAUCAUCGCCUUAUUACAGGCAUUCUACUCAGCCCUGUGAGAGGAGAAGGUCCAGCUGAGACUCCUGGGGGUUUGACCCAGCAGGAGUGCUGUCUGUGCCCAGACCGUUGUCCGUGUCUUCAAGCGGGUGAGGAGGAACCUUUGCAUACUGCAUCUACUAGCACCACACUAGAUGCUAAUGCUAUCCUCUCACUGUAGAGUG